rnacentral:lncRNA from 1 species
GGAAGUGUUGUGUUGAACCCUGACUCUGCUGUUUUGUACACUGACAUGAUAUGCCUGCCGAAACUAUACAUGUGUACAUGUACACACACACCACACAUGUGUACAUGUACACACACACACACACACACACACACAGACACACACACACAGACACACACACACACACAACCUUCCUGGAACCAGAGGAACAUGGUGUGCUCACACCUCGGCACAUGCAGGGGCGAUAUAUAAGAGCAGUCCAACUCCGAAAAGGACAUAGACUCUACAGCACUCGAUACACUGAGGACCAUCUCUGGAAACAUAGACCAGGACAGACCAUCAACAGCUCUUCAAGCCUCCUGCAGUAUUUUACUCUUAGGACACCUCACCUACUCUCCAAUAUAAUGUAUCUUCUGGGACUCUGUACACUGGCACUGCUGGCCUCCACCGUCGCACAGAAUUCUUCAACAAUAGCUUCAUUUACUCCUACAAUCGCUGUUUCUGCUCCUACCAUCGCUGGUUCUGCUCCUACAACCGCUGGUCCUGUUGCUCCUACAACUGCUGGUCCUGUUGCUCCUACAACCGCUGGUCCUGUUGCUCCUACAACCACUGGUCCUGUUGCUCCUACAACCGCUGGUCCUGUUGCUCCUACAACCGCUGGUCCUGUUGCUCCUACAACCACUGCUCCUGCAAUAGCAGCAACUGUCCCACCCUCCAAACCAAGUGGCAGCCCAGCAACCGGAGCGUCUCUGUUGUGUUCUGUGGUGAUUCUUCUCCUCUACAGCCUGUGGUACUAAGUGGUGAACCUCCUCUGGCCUGGAGUUUGUAUUGUUCAGGACAAAUAGACUGAGUGGCUAUGAAUGAACCCAGAGCCAAUGAACUAAGCAAAUAUGUAUCUGGAAGAAUGGAUUUUCUGGAACACCAGUCAUUGAUGUUUCAUGUUAGAGGUUAAUCUUUGUAUAUGGACACGUUAUGAGAGAAGCAAAUUCUUCUUAAAUUUGAAUUUGGGUGGGUGGAUUGGAGGGAGGGAGGGAGGGAGGGAGGGAGGGGUUGGGGUUGUACUGUUUUUCUGUUCUCAUACCUGAAAAUCUAUAAAGAAAGUACAACAAAAAACAUUUGUUGUAAACAGUCACCAAUGGGUAAAAACCUUUGGGCAAAGAGAUAUUGGUUGUGUUUUGAACACUGACGGUUUUAGGAUCUUGCUUCCACUGCCCUUUUAGACUUAUUUUUGUCUGUUUGUUUUUUUAAGUUGAAAUGCACUGAUUAGAGGGAAUGAGUUCAUGUUGUAGACAAUAUACUUGAUUGUAAUCCAAUUUCUAUUUUAAUAAAUGCAUGUAUGGAAGUACACUUCAAACAAUAUAAUAAAAUAAUAUAAAGUGUGACUACUUUCAUGUUAAGCAUUAUGAGCAUCAGCAAUAGAACAAGGUUGUAUUUUCUUGUGUUAAUGUGUAAGACUGAGACAUAAAGCAAUUCAGAUGUAGGAUCUUAAUUUGAUCACCAUGUUGCAGGAGAACUUUCCUGCACUGCAGGACAUUUUAAACAUUUUUGUAGUGUAUUUGAGGUUAAAAGGGCUUCUGAAAUGUAUUGCAGGCUAAACAAAACCCUGACAACACAAAACAAACACACCCCUGCCACGCCCUGACCAAAAUAACAAAUAACCCCUUAUACUGGUCAGAACGUGACAGUAUCCCCCCCCCCAAAGGUGCAGACCCCGGAUGCACCUGAAACAAAACUAGCAAAACAAUAACCCACAACAACAAAAAGUCCCAAAACUACAGGGGAGGGAAGGGAGGGUGGCCACCGUCACCGACGGUUCUUCUGCAACACACCCCCCCAAUACUCCCCCCUACGGAGGUGGCUCAGGAGCGGGACGCAGACCCCGCUCCACCACUGGCUCACCCCACUUCAGUGUUGCCUCUAGAGCGAGGUCCCUCUCCGUCGACCCCGGACUGGGGACCCUCGCAACGGGCGACUCUGGCUGCGUCGGACUGGAGGGCGACUCUCUCGGUUCCGGACUGUGGGCCGUCUCUCUCGGUUCCGGACUGUGGGCCGUCUCUCUCUGUUCCGGACUGUGGGCCGUCUCUCUCGGUUCCCGGACUGUGGGCCGUCUCUCUCGGUUCCACACUGUGGGCCGUCUCUCUACGGGGCACUGUCGCUGGAAACACUGGACGAGGCACUGUUGCCGGACAUUCUGGACGAGGCACUGUUGCCGGACACUCUGGACGAAGCACUGUUGCCGGACACUCUGGACGAGGCACUGUUGCCGGAAGCUCUGGACGGGGACUGCGCACUGAAGACCGCGCACUGAGGACCUGACGCGUGGAGCUGGCUUAGGAAGUGCCAGACUAGGGACACGCACCACAGGGUUAGUGCGAGGAGCAGGACGAGCUGGACUGGGCUGACGCACUGAAGGCCUGGUGCGUGGGGCUGGUACUGGAGGUACCAGACUGGAGACAUGCACCCCAAGGCUAGUGCGAGGAGCGGAACAGGACGUACUAGACUGGGCUGACGCACUGGAGGCCUGGUGCGUGGUGCUGGGUUUAGAGGCACAGACUAGAGACACGCACCUCAGGGCUAGUGCGGGGAGCGGGAACAGGAUACACUGGGCCGUGGAGGCGCACUGGUGGUCUCGAGCGCAGGACUGGCACCACUCGUACUGACUGGGUGCCCGCUUCCCCCCGGCAAAUGCGGGACGCUGGCACCGAGCACACCAGCCUGUGGAUGCUUGGCCUCGACGCUGUGCGCAUCACCCCAUAGCACGGGGCCUGACCAGUACCACGCUGCCUCUGGUAAGCACGGGGAGUUGGCUUAGGGCUCAACCCUGGCCAGCCAAACUACCCGUGUGCCCCCCCCAAAAAAUGUUUGGGGGCUGCCUCUCAGGCUUCCAUGCCAACCGUGUUCCAGCAAAACACUCCCGGUCCUCUCCAGCCUUCCUCCAUGGUCCCUCUCCGCCUAGGAUCUCCUCCCAGGUCCACGACUCCCGAUAGCUCCUCUCCAGCUCGUUACCCCGCUGCUUGGUCCGUUGGUGGUGGGAAGUUCUGUAAUGGGCGUUGUAAGGAUUCGACCAAGGCGCAGCGGGUUGAGUGCUCAUUUGAACUUUUAUUGAACACUUAACAACAAAACAACAAAACUAAUGAACACACAGUAUUGCAGGCUAAACACAGCUAGCAAGGCAAAACCAACUUCCCACAAAAGACAGGUGAAAAAAGGGCUACCUAAGUAUGACUCCCAAUCAGCAACAACGAUAUACAGCUGUUCCUGAUUGAGAGCCAUACCAGGCCAAUAAAGAAAUACACAACAUAGACAAUCCAUAGAAAUACAAAACAUAGAACAAUACCCCAAAACCCAGACAACACAAAACAAACACACCCCUGCCACUCCCUGACCAAACUACAAUAACAAAUAACCCCUUAUACUGGUCAGGACGUGACAUGAAAUUUGUAAUUUCGACUUUUACAUUUCAGAUGUGAUUUUCCCUUUUUAACAUUUCCUGUUGCUGCAGGAUUAUUUUCCUGCUGUAGCAAACGGGUUCAAAUUAAGAUCCUACAUCUGUGUAUGUGUAGGCUGAGCUAAUGUGAAAUUGUACACAAAACUCAACCCUUCAGUCUUCGUAUUGACAGAUAGCCAGCAACGCGUUGUAGAUGGUCUCCUUUGAAUUUGUUCUGUUGAUAAACAUUGGCCAUUUUUCCAAAAAUGAAAUUAGUUUUGAAAGACUUUUAGUUAUAAUGCUUGGUUGAGGUAGAUAGUUUCAUUGACAUGUAUUUCUACUGUAUUUGUUACAGGAAAUAAAUGCAUGGCUUUUUUUCAUUCCUCCAACAGGUGACACUGACACUGAUGUGCAGAUAAGUGUGUGUACAUGUGGGAGUCUAAAUGUGCAUUACAUCUGGUGGGAGGGUACACACAGUGGUGUAGUGGUGGCUGG